rnacentral:lncRNA from 1 species
AACCAGAUGCUCCGCAGGGCGCAGCUUUAUACGACCGCAGAGGUUGAACCCUGAACGGUUGGGGCAAGUAUGGACACAACAUUCAAGCUGGAUUCAGCUCUAAAUUUGGAUUGUGAUUAAAUAGUUGACACAGCAUAGGUUUCGGACACAGAAUGAAUGUGGUCUAAUGAAGUUAAAAUAUUUUGUUUGCCUUUGAGCAAUUCACUAUGCUGUUGAAUAUUAAUCCUCUCAAAAAAAUGUUUGAAGAAAUUUUCUUUUUAUUUAUGAAAUCUGAAAUGAGAAAAUUUAAACCACCCCCAUUUUUUUUUUUUCACAUCCCCCUUUCCCUUUUUCCAAAACU